rnacentral:lncRNA from 1 species
AAAAAUAAUAAUCUCACCGUUGAACUCAGCGUGGCGGUAAUCCUCUCGUGUUUCUUCCACUGUACUGCUGUCUCCUCUGAUCACGCAAGCGUCCCACCCCUGGUACACCCUAUCAACAGCAGGUGAAAUAUCAAGAGCGCCAAAUUUGAAAACAAUUAAAUGUCAUAAUUCAAAUUUCUCAAACAUACAACUAUCUUACACCCUUUGAAAGAUAAACAUCUCCUUAAUCUAACCACGUUAUCCGAUUUCAAAAAGGCUUUACGGCGAAAGCAUAAAGUUAGAUUAUGUUAGGACAGUACAUUGAAAAUAGCUGUGUGUAAUGUUUUGUCAAUGCAAAGACAGCUAAAAUUAUGCACUAACCUUUGACAAUCUUCAUCAGAUGACACUCCUAGGACAUUAUGUUAGACAAUACAUGCAUUUUU